GAGGAUGCGAGCGUUAUCCGGAUUUAUUGGGUUUAAAGGGUGCGUAGGCGGGCUGUUAAGUCAGCGGUAAAAUAUCCGGGCUCAACCCCGUUUAGCCGUUGAAACUGGCGGUCUUGAGACGGUGAGAGGUACGCGGAAUGCGCGGUGUAGCGGUGAAAUGCAUAGAUAUCGCGCAGAACUCCGAUUGCGAAGGCAGCGUACCGGUGCCGAUCUGACGCUGAGGCACGAAAGCGUGGGGAUCGAA
rnacentral:rRNA from 1 species